rnacentral:rRNA from 1 species
AUUGCCUCAGUAACGGCGAGUGAAGCGGCAACAGCUCAAAUUUGAAAUCUGGCCCCAGGCCCGAGUUGUAAUUUGCAGAGGAUGCUUUUGGCGAGGUGCCUUCCGAGUUCCCUGGAACGGGACGCCAUAGAGGGUGAGAGCCCCGUCUGGUCGGACACCGAGCCUCUGUAAAGCUCCUUCGACGAGUCGAGUAGUUUGGGAAUGCUGCUCUAAAUGGGAGGUAUAUGUCUUCUAAAGCUAAAUACCGGCCAGAGACCGAUAGCGCACAAGUAGAGUGAUCGAAAGAUGAAAAGCACUUUGAAAAGAGAGUUAAAUAGCACGUGAAAUUGUUGAAAGGGAAGCGUUUAUGACCAGACUUGGCCCGGUUGAUCAUCCAGCGUUCUCGCUGGUGCACUCUGCCGGUCCAGGCCAGCAUCAGUUCGUCGCGGGGGAUAAAGGUUUCGGGAAUGUGGCUCCUCCGGGAGUGUUAUAGCCCGUUGCGUAAUACCCUGCGGUGGACUGAGGUCCGCGCUUCUGCAAGGAUGCUGGCGUAAUGGUCAUCAACGACCCGUCUUGAAACACGGACCAAGGAGUCGUCUUCGUAUGCGAGUGUUCGGGUGUAAAACCCCUACGCGUAAUGAAAGUGAACGCAGGUGAGAGCUUCGGCGCAUCAUCGACCGAUCCUGAUGUUCUCGGAUGGAUUUGAGUAAGAGCAUACGGGGCCGGACCCGAAAGAAGGUGAACUAUGCCUGUAUAGGGUGAAGCCAGAGGAAACUCUGGUGGAGGCUCGCAGCGGUUCUGACGUGCAAAUCGAUCGUCAAAUAUGGGCAUGGGGGCGAAAGAC